CUACAGGGGUAUCUAAUCCUGUUUGCUCCCCACGCUUUCGUGCCUCAGUGUCAAUGUUGGUCCAGGUAGCUGCCUUCGCCAUGGAUGUUCCUCCUGAUCUCUACGCAUUUCACUGCUACACCAGGAAUUCCGCUACCCUCUACCACAUUCUAGUCAUCCAGUAUCCACUGCAGUUCCCAGGUUGAGCCCAGGGCUUUCACAACGGACUUAAAUAACCACCUACGCACGCUUUACGCCCAGUAAUUCCGAGUAACGCUUGCACCCUUCGUAUUACCGCGGCUGCUGGCAC
rnacentral:rRNA from 1 species